AUUGAACGCUGGCGGCAGGCCUAACACAUGCAAGUCGAACGGUAACAGGAAACAGCUUGCUGUUUCGCUGACGAGUGGCGGGCGGGUGAGUAAUGUCUGUGAAACUGCCUGAUGGAGGGGGAUAACUACUGGAAACGGUAGCUAAUACCGCAUAACGUCGCAAGACCAAAGAGGGGGACCUUCGGACCUCUUGCCAUCCGCUUUGACCAGAUGGGAGUAUCUAGUAGGUGGGGUAACCGCUCACCUAGUCGACGAUCCCUAACUGGUCUGAGAGGAUGACCAGCCACACUGGAACUGAGACACGGUCCAGACUCCUACGGGAGGCAGCAGUGGGGAAUAUUGCACAAUGGGCGCAAGCCUGAUGGAGCCAUGCCGCGUGUAUGAAGAAGGCCUUCGGGUUGUAAAGUACUUUCAGCGGGGAUGAAGGGAGUAAAGUUAAUCCCUUUGCUCAUUGACGUUACCCGCAGAAGAAGCACCGGCUAACUACGUG
rnacentral:rRNA from 1 species